rnacentral:rRNA from 1 species
AGCGAACGCUGGCGGCAGGCCUAACACAUGCAAGUCGAACGAAGUCUUCGGACUUAGUGGCGGACGGGUGAGUAACACGUGGGAACGUACCCUUUGGUUCGGAACAACUCAGGGAAACUUGAGCUAAUACCGGAUGAGCCCUUAGGGGGAAAGAUUUAUCGCCGAAAGAGCGGCCCGCGUUAGAUUAGCUAGUUGGUGAGGUAAAGGCUCACCAAGGCUACGAUCUAUAGCUGGUCUGAGAGGAUGAUCAGCCACACUGGGACUGAGACACGGCCCAGACUCCUACGGGAGGCAGCAGUGGGGAAUCUUGCGCAAUGGGCGAAAGCCUGACGCAGCCAUGCCGCGUGAAUGAUGAAGGUCUUAGGAUUGUAAAAUUCUUUUACCAGGGACGAUAAUGACGGUACCUGGAGAAAAAGCCCCGGCUAACUUCGUGCCAGCAGCCGCGGUAA